AGGUGAUGUAAUUCCCCUUGGGAGUGUGGCAUCAAGCAGAUGAAUUGGGCGCAUUGCAUCUGAUUCAGCCUCUUGAGGAGAAAGACUUCAUACUGAUCCAAAUAGACUCCCGAGAGGCAGAAAGAGGAAAAUGAUAAAUAAAUGCCAGCCAAGCUCUAAAAUGGAACACUCUAGCUGUGUGGCCACUGAAGCGUGAGUGGCUGAAACGAAGAGAAUGGACAUGGAGCCCACCCGGAAGAGCACCCUUAACAUCAUCAUAUCCCUGAAGCACGAGUCGGGGUGGUGGGACUGCCCUGGAAACCCUGCACACAGCUGGCUUGAGCAGUGGGUAUUUUCAUAAGGCAUAUAUGGGCAUCACAGAACACUUGGAGCUUUAAUGAAGACAGCUGCCAUUCUGUGAGCUGUUCUAUGAAGGAGCCCACUUGGCAAGGAACUGGGGGAGGUCUCAGAUUAACAGCCAGCAAGAAACUGAAUCCUGCUAACAACCACCUGAAUGAACAUGAAAGCAGACCCUUCCCCAAUUGAGUCUUCAGAUGAGACCCAGUGCUCACCUGCACCUAGGUUGGAGCCCUAAGAGAAACCUUGAAGCAGAGGAACCAGCUUAACCUGAUCCAUGGAAACUAUAAAAUAAAAUGUGUGUUGUUUAAACUGCUAAA